GAACAAGGAAGAAUGUUCUCUAGGGACAUAGAGGAAAAGUUAAAUAGUCAACAAGUUUGUCAAUUUAGGUUAAUCCAAUGACACUUACAUUUAAGGAAAUAUGUGAAGAUAAAGAGUUUCAAUGUUACUCUGGAGGUCAAGGCUACUAAUAAGUUUGAAGACUAUAUAUUUAGACACUUGGUUUGGCGAGAUGACAAACAUUAUGUGAGGAUUCGCCUUGCAGUGAGCCACAAGUACAAGGAGGUUCAUUUUGGUUUCUAUACUACCUAUUGAUUAGGUAAUACAUCAGUGUAAUAAGAAACAUAUUGUUAGCUAUAAAGCACCUUGUUGUAUUGAUGCUACUUGUGUACUGUUGCUGCCACGAUGUCAUGUUUUCCUUAUCUUUAUUUGUUCAGAGUCAGAUCAAAAUUCACCAAAGUAAUAUAUUGAAUAUCAUGUGAAUUUGAUUCGACUCGCCAAUUUCCCAAUGUUGGGUUGCUUAUGAUCGUAGGACAA